CUGCAGCCCGACUUGAGUGGAGCUCUUUUUCUUUUUGCCUGGGACAAAGCCUGGGAAAAGAAAAAAGCGGGAACGGAAGGCGGAUAAAGC
rnacentral:misc_RNA from 1 species